rnacentral:rRNA from 1 species
CAGACUCCUACGGGAGGCAGCAGUGGGGAAUAUUGCACAAUGGGCGCAAGCCUGAUGCAGCCAUGCCGCGUGUAUGAAGAAGGCCUUCGGGUUGUAAAGUACUUUCAGCGGGGAGGAAGGCGGUGAGGUUAAUAACCUCAUCGAUUGACGUUACCCGCAGAAGAAGCACCGGCUAACUCCGUGCCAGCAGCCGCGGUAAUACGGAGGGUGCAAGCGUUAAUCGGAAUUACUGGGCGUAAAGCGCACGCAGGCGGUCUGUCAAGUCGGAUGUGAAAUCCCCGGGCUCAACCUGGGAACUGCAUUCGAAACUGGCAGGCUAGAGUCUUGUAGAGGGGGGUAGAAUUCCAGGUGUAGCGGUGAAAUGCGUAGAGAUCUGGAGGAAUACCGGUGGCGAAGGCGGCCCCCUGGACAAAGACUGACGCUCAGGUGCGAAAGCGUGGGGAGCAAACAGGAUUAGAUACCCUGGUAGUCCACGCCGUAAACGAUGUCGACUUGGAGGUUGUGCCCUUGAGGCGUGGCUUCCGGAGCUAACGCGUUAAGUCGACCGCCUGGGGAGUACGGCCGCAAGGUUAAAACUCAAAUGAAUUGACGGGGGCCCGCACAAGCGGUGGAGCAUGUGGUUUAAUUCGAUGCAACGCGAAGAACCUUACCUACUCUUGACAUCCAGAGAACUUUCCAGAGAUGGAUUGGUGCCUUCGGGAACUCUGAGACAGGUGCUGCAUGGCUGUCGUCAGCUCGUGUUGUGAAAUGUUGGGUUAAGUCCCGCAACGAGCGCAACCCUUAUCCUUUGUUGCCAGCGGUCAGGCCGGGAACUCAAAGGAGACUGCCAGUGAUAAACUGGAGGAAGGUGGGGAUGACGUCAAGUCAUCAUGGCCCUUCCGAGUAGGGCUACACACGUGCUACAAUGGCGCAUACAAAGAGAAGCGACCUCGCGAGAGCAAGCGGACCUCAUAAAGUGCGUCGUAGUCCGGAUUGGAGUCUGCAACUCGACUCCAUGAAGUCGGAAUCGCUAGUAAUCGUAGAUCAGAAUGCUACGGUGAAUACGUUCCCGGGCCUUGUACACACCGCCCGUCACACCAUGGGAGUGGGUUGCAAAAGAAGUAGGUAGCUUAACCUUCGGAGGGCGCUACCAC